rnacentral:rRNA from 1 species
GCGUUGUCCGGAAUCAUUGGGCGUAAAGAGCGCGUAGGCGGUCCGGUAAGUCCGCUGUGAAAGUCGAGGGCUCAACCCUCGAAUGCCGGUGGAUACUGCCGGGCUAGAGUCCGGAAGAGGCGAGUGGAAUUCCUGGUGUAGCGGUGAAAUGCGCAGAUAUCAGGAGGAACACCAAUGGCGAAGGCAGCUCGCUGGGACGGUACUGACGCUGAGGCGCGAAGGCGUG